CCAUGGAUCAACUGCAGACAGGGGCUUCGCCAAGGCGACUCGCUCUCUCCUUAUCUCUUCAUUAUUGUAGCCGAUGUGUUGCAACGCCUGAUCCUUCAGGCAUCCGCUAAUGGCCUUCUAUCUCACCCGAUCGAUCCGAGCAUUCCUUGCCCAGUUCUACAGUAUGCUGACGACACCCUUAUCAUUCUGCAAGCUGACCAUGACCAACUUCAAACUCUAAAAUCUAUCCUUCUUGAAUUCUCAAACGCCACGGGUCUGGUGAUUAAUUUUCACAAAAGCACGUUUGCUCCCAUUCAUGUUGAUCCGGAUCUCGCAUCUCAACUUGCA
rnacentral:rRNA from 1 species